AAGUUCGCCUACACCUACGCAGGUGAGUCGGGGGCCCUUGGAAAGCACCAUCCCAUUGAAUUUGCCCGCCCCUUGCAAAGCGUGACUUCCUGUUUUUGACAGCUCCCCAAGCCGUCUCCGACGUCCGCAUCACCCGGAAAGGGAAAGUCCUCACGUGUGAGGCCAAGGGUGUCGUCAAAAGCUUCAAGUGGGAGAUGGAGGAUGGGACGGCUGUCACUUCACAGCACGGCGCAGUGGACGCUGUUGAGUCAAAGUUCAAAUUGAACUCGAAGGCCAAAGGCAACUUUGUUUGCGUGGCCACCGGCUGCGAUGACAAGGCCGGGAGGUCCGACCCCUUUAGCGUCGACGGAAAAGGCAGCGAAGAGGGCGGCUCCAGCACCAACAACGACGAGAGUGACAAUGGACGUGAGUACUUGCAUGUCUGUCAGUGGAGCAAGCCCCGCCACCGCCAAUGUUUGCCAUCUUUGCUCUAGAUGGGUCCCAACCAGGAAGUGGCCCCCAGGGCGCGUCCACCUCCGUCGCUCUGCUGCUGAUAAGCGUCCUCGUUGAGCUCUACGUGAUGAUGCUGUAGACCCGGCGGCCGCCGGACGAGAGAUCCUGGAGGCGACGACGUCAACCUGCGAGUGGCGCGCCCUUCCAUUUUUCCUUUUUUCAUUUAUUCGUUCAGCAAUCCAAAUAUUCAUUCGUUCAUUCAGCAAUU